rnacentral:rRNA from 1 species
GAUUGAAGCUUGCUUUGAACUGUUUUAGUGGCGGACGGGUGAGUAACGCGUGAGGAACCUGCCUUUCAGAGGGGGAUAACGUCUGGAAACGGACGCUAAUACCGCAUGACAUUUUGUUGCCGCAUGGUGAUAAAAUCAAAGGAGCAAUCCGCUGAGAGAUGGACUCGCGUCCGAUUAGCCGGUUGGCGGGGUAACGGCCCACCAAAGCAACGAUCGGUAGCCGGGCUGAGAGGCUGAACGGCCACAUUGGGACUGAGACACGGCCCAGACUCCUACGGGAGGCAGCAGUGGGGGAUAUUGCACAAUGGAGGAAACUCUGAUGCAGCAACGCCGCGUGAGGGAAGAAGGUUUUCGGAUUGUAAACCUCUGUCCUCAGGGACGAUAAUGACGGUACCUGAGGAGGAAGCUCCGGCUAACUACGUGCCAGCAGCCGCGGUAAUACGUAGGGAGCAAGCGUUGUCCGGAUUUACUGGGUGUAAAGGGUGCGUAGGCGGCACUGCAAGUCAGGUGUGAAAACCAUGGGCUUAACUUAUGGAUUGCACUUGAAACUGUGGUGCUUGAGUGAAGUAGAGGCAGGCGGAAUUCCCGGUGUAGCGGUGAAAUGCGUAGAGAUCGGGAGGAACACCAGUGGCGAAGGCGGCCUGCUGGGCUUUAACUGACGCUGAGGCACGAAAGCAUGGGUAGCAAACAGGAUUAGAUACCCUGGUAGUCCAUGCCGU